AUGUUGCCACUUGUCCUGAGCUGGAAAAAUGGCUAACAGCUGAACUGUUCUAACAGAAUGGGAAGACAGAUGGACAAAUGACCUCCUGGUGCUGAGAGAGGGAAGGAGGCAGCUGCCUGUGGAUCCACUGUGCUGGGGCUAGCCCCAGAGGAGGGGGCUCACACUGCUGGGAGGUCCUUUCCAGGCUGUGUGGCUGCAGGUAAGUGGCUACCUGCUCUGAGGCUCUGCCUGGUUUUCUCUCUCUAAACAGGGCUCCAGCCUCCCCUUCUCCCGAGGGACAUGGCAGGUCUCUCAGCAAGCUUGGCCUCAUGUUAUGUGUGGGCUCAGCCCCUCACACACAGGCAUUCCCUGAACCAACUAGUAGGCUGUGUGCAUACAGCAGAGAGUGCUCGGCCUUUGGCUCCUCCGGGUACACUCCUGCUGCUGCUGGACAGGCUACGUCUGAAGCUUGUCCUCCCCACUUCCUGUGUGAGAUCCUAACCCUUUGUGGUGGUGCUAGGAGGUGGGGCCUCUGGGAGGUGAUGAUGACAUGAGGCUGGAGCCCUCAGGCGUUGGAUUCCUGCCCUUAUAAAAGAGGACCCAGAAGGCUCCCUUGCCCCUUCCUCCAAAUGAAGACACAACAAGAGGGCCCGGUCUAUGAACUAGGAAGCAGCCCUCACCAGACACCAAACCUGCCGGCACCUUGACCUUGGACUUCCAGCCCCUAGAACUGUGUGGAAAUAAAUGCUGUUUCUUUCUUUCUUUCUUUUUUUGUUUUUUUGUUUGUUUGUUUUGUUUUGUUUUUGAGAUAAGAGUUUCGCUCUUGGUGCCCAGGCUGGAGUGCAGUGGCACAAUGUUGGCUCACUGCAACCUUCACCUUCCGGGUUCAAGCGAUUCUCCUGCCUCAGCCUCCUGCAUAGCUGGGAUUACAGGCAUGCGCUACCAUGUUCAGCUAAUUUU
rnacentral:lncRNA from 1 species